rnacentral:rRNA from 1 species
UUGAAUUUCGGGAAUUAGUAGGCUGGUCGUGCCUCGUGGUAUGGAACUGGUCUUCGUACUCGNAUUUCCGUACUUACCCUGGAAAACCUUAANNAGUUCUUAAUUNNGGGGUGUUUUUGGGGAGUUUGGACUGUUUCUUUAAAAAAAUUAGAGUUAGNUUAAGACAAGCUAACGCUUGAAUACAUUAGCAUGGAAUAAUGAAAUAGGACGUUCGAUCCUAUUUUGUUGGUUUCUAGGAUUGACGUAAUGAUUAAUAGGGAUAGUUGGGGGCAUUAGUAUUCAAUUGUCAGAGGUGAAAUUCUUGGAUUUAUUGAAGACUAACUACUGCGAAAGCAUUUGCCAAGGAUGUUUUCAUUAAUCAAGAACGAAAGUUAGGGGAUCGAAGACGAUCAGAUACCGUCGUAGUCUUAACCAUAAACUAUGCCGACUAGGGAUCGGAUGAUGUUAAUUUUUAAUGACUC